UGGGGAAUCGUCUAAUGGUAGGACAACGGACUUUGACUCCGUUUGUCUAGGUUCGAAUCCUAGUUCCCCAACCA
rnacentral:tRNA from 1 species